UACGGGGGGGGCAAGCGUUGUUCGGAAUUACUGGGCGUAAAGGGCGCGUAGGCGGCCUGCUAAGUCGAACGUGAAAUCCCCGGGCUCAACCCGGGAACUGCGUCCGAUACUGGCAGGCUUGAAUCCGGGAGAGGGAUGUGGAAUUCCGGGUGUAGCGGUGAAAUGCGUAGAUAUCCGGAGGAACACCGGUGGCGAAGGCGGCUUCCUGGACCGACACUGACGCUGAGGCGCGAAAGCUAGGGGAGCAAACGGG
rnacentral:rRNA from 1 species